rnacentral:rRNA from 1 species
AGCGAACGCUGGCGGCGUGCUUAACACAUGCAAGUCGAACGGUGAACGAGGGAGCUUGCUCCCUCCGGAUCAGUGGCGAACGGGUGAGUAACACGUGAGCAAUCUGCCCCGGACUCUGGGCUAAGCGUUGGAAACGACGUCUAAUACCGGAUACGAGACGAGAAGGCAUCUUGAGCGUCCGACAAGAACUUCGGUCCAGGAUGAGCCAGCGGCCUAUCAGGUAGUUGGUGAGGUAACCGCUCACCAAGCCUCCGACGGGUAGCCGGCCGGAGAGGGUGACCGCCCACACUGGGACUGAGACACGGCCCAGACUCCUACGGGAGGCAGCAGUGGGGAAUAUUGCACAAUGGGCGCAAGCCUGAUGCAGCAACGCCGCGUGAGGGACGACGGCCUUCGGGUUGUAAACCUCUUUUAGCAGGGAAGAAGCGAAAGUGACGGUACCUGCAGAAAAAGCACCGGCUAACUACGUGCCAGCAGCCGCCGUAAAAC